CGUUCUGCGACCUAUAUGACCCCGCUGCUACGACGGCGGUGGCGUUGGCCGCCUCCUCUGUUCUGGACUUCCAGUCGCCGUCUCUCGCUCCGUCUCGGGAUUGCGAUGCUUGGUCGAUUAGCUGCGAGGGGAUCAACAGCCAAAGCUCUCCUCCGCUGCCCUAAGUCCGUCCCGCCACUCCUCACCGCAUCCGCCGCCGUCCGUUUCUUCAGCACCGGCGGCGGAGAUGCCUCCUCCCCCCCGGAACGGCUCGCCCUCGAGAUGACCCAGUACGCUCUCGGACUUGCUAGAUCGCAGAAAUCAGGAGAUUCGUACUCCCAUGCGAUGCUGGUGCUGGAGCAAGGAAUGUCCAACCUGAGGGAAGGAGGAGGAGGAGCGGUGGAGGGAACUAGCUCGAGCGACAACGCCAUGGGGAUGAUCUUGCUUGCCCUGUCCACUCUGCUUUACGAGAGAGGGCAGCUUCAAGAUGCCAACGAGAAGCUUGAGAUGGUUCAUCAGUUAGGGCGAGCUUCAAUAGAUCUCAUUGUUGCUGCCUGUGAGGGUCGAGUGGGGUUAAACUUGGAGACUGGUCAGGAUGCCAAUUCGUUGCUGCUUGCAGACAAUUGUUCUCAUUUGCUUAGAGCUAGUGAAGAGGGCGGUGUUCCUGUGUCAGAGGUUACCAAAUUUCGUGCUAAAUCAAUUAAAGGACUUGUUGAUCUUAUAAAUGGGGAUUGUAUGUCUGUGGAAUCAGUGUACGGUGGCUCCAAGGAAUGUGGUAUGGGAAGAACUGAAAACCAAUUAGGAACUAGCCUUCUUUCUCAAGGGGAAAUUUCACAUUGCAUCGGGAAUUUCUCAUUAUCAAAAGAACUCUAUGAGAAAGCACUCUUGACAUUAGAGACCAAAAAAACAUCGAGCAUGUCUUAUCUAGCAUCUACCAAUAUGGUGCCUGAAGAAGUUACAAUCGGAGCAGCAUGUGCCUUGGGACAACUUCUGUCUCAUUCUGGGAACUUUGCAGAGGCCGAGGAACAACUAACAAAGGCUCUUGUCAAGGCUGAAGAACAUUUUGGUUCAACUCAUCCAAAAGUUGGUGUGAUCUUGACUUGCAUAGCCAUUAUGUAUAAGCGCAAGGCACAGGUGGAAGCGUCAAGCUCUAUAAUAAUUCAAGAGGGAUUGUACAGGAAGGCCACAGAUUUGCUCAAAGCUCCUGACUUGAAUGAGAAAGUUGUUGCACUACUCGAUAGGAGGGACAUAAUUGCUCUAGCUAGAGAUUGGUCCAUUUGAAAAUGCAAAGGAGCUCUGGGACAAGCUAAUCGAACUACACGAGGGCACCAGUGACACGAAGGUAACACAAAGAAACCUCCUAUUAAAUUCAUUAUAUAAUAUCAAAAUGUAGGAUGGAGAAAAGAUAAAACUUCACGCGAGGAUCAAAGACAUCGGUUUGCACCUUAUCGGCCACAAACUUUAAAAUCGGGAUGUUAUAAGGUAAUUUAAAUUCAUUUUCUCGAAAUGCACUAUGGACAUCUAUAGUGGAUGCCUGUGAAGUUUCGAGAAACUUAAAUAAACUUAAAUUAGAUGAACUAUUCUGUGAACUAGAGCUGCACGAACAGACUAGCUCCCAAAAGACCGAGAAAGGUAUCGUGUUUCUUGCAGGUUCUACAAAUCAGACAAAGAAUAAGACCAAGCAAAAGGCGGAAUCUGAGUCUGAGUCAGGACUUGGAUCUAGAAGAGCAAUUGGUGAAUAUGGUGUGGCGAAUGUUCACUAAAAAGGACUUCAACACAAAGGACCUUCAAAAGAUUAUCAAGCCCAACAUCAGCAAGUUAAACAUCACCUGCUUCGGAUGUAACAAAAAGGGCCACUACAAGCACGAGUGUCUGAACAUCAAGGAAGAUAAACCCAAGAACCUCAAGAAAAAGAAGGCACUCAAGGCAACUUGAGACGAGUCAUCUUUGGAGGAAUCGGAUAACGACGAACCGAAGCAUAACAAUUAUUUGACACUGAUGGCAACCGGACCAGAAUCAGAAAACGAAUUGGGACAAGAUGAAGAGUCAGAAUAGGAGUCGAGCCACGAGUCCAAACUCGUUUUCGAAGGUUCCACCAAGGACUUGACUGGUCUGACACCAGACUGAAAUCCACCUAGGUUUGAGGACCUGAUAGUUGGUGUAGAAGUCCAGAUAAGUCAAGGAGUGACAUGAUAUCUGAUGGGAGCCCGACUGAGUUUGCGGGACGUGACAGCUGGCCGAAGUCUAGUUGAGUCUGCGAACCUGACAAUUGGCGGGAAGACCUGGUGAACCAAGGAAGAGUCAAGCAAUUUUGUAUAAUAAGGCAAAAGGAGCACAAAAUGCCUCGGGUGAACAGUACCCGAGGCGCCUUGAACCGAUGGAAGACGCCUUGAGCUGGGUGAUAGAAGGCGCCCGGUCAGAUAACAUAGAAGAUCUCGGCGAUGAUAAGACACAGUCUUCUCGGGAUAAAACUUUACUGAUGGAAGGCGCCUUGAACACUCUAUAAAAGAAAGCUUCGAAUAGUGCAAUGAAAACAACUCUUCUACAAGCUUUUGCGCAUUUGUUCGACGCUCCGACUGCUCCGAUUUCGUGCUGUUGCUCUGCUACGACACUGUUGCGAUUGACUACUGCUGAGAAGCUGUCCAACACAGAGCUCGAUCUGAUAAUCUACAAGCAUUGGAUAACGAAAUUUUCUUUCUAUACUUAAUUAUUGCUUAAAAGGAAAGUGUAGCUUAUUACACUUAUCCAAUCUUUUCUAUUAUAUUUGUUUCCCUCUUUCGGCGGUUCUGGAAGAGAAUUAUAGUAAAUUGCCAUCGAUACGGUCCGUAAGAUCGUGGGUUUUGGAGUAGUAGUCGCCGAAGGCUCCAAACCAAGUAACCGAUCGAGUCUUGUUUUUGUUUCUAUUUUUAUUUUUUCCAUUGCGUACUUGUUUUAUAAAAUCGAAAAGAUAAAUUUUUCAAAAUUACACGAUUCAUCCCUCUCUCAUGUGCGUAACGGUCCUACAUAACAUACCCUCUUUAUGAGAUCAUCUGACAAGGGGAAGUCUUUCAGCAUUCAUCUCCCUAGUGCUCUUUUUCCUUGAUAUGAAGAGCUAAACAGUGAAAUGUCAUGCUCUAAGUUCGCUACUAUGAAAGAGUGGGCUGUACUCUCCAUUUCCAUUAAAAAUUAAAUAGAGAAAACAUUUUGUUUUCAUUUGCUAUUUCUAAUUGUGCUAUUCAUCUUUCUUUGAGGACAUUGGAGUAUUUUCUUUUUUCCUCUAUCUAUGAUGGACUACUAUAUCCGUCGCUUAUGGGAAAAUCCCACCUAUAGAGACAAGUUGUUGAGAUUUAUUUGGUCCUAAGAUUGUUUUACUCCCCUACAUCCAUUAACAUAUUACAGCAUUGCCCGUGCCUAGGAAUAGAAAGUACAACCUUCCAAACACUCGUCAUUUGUCGUGAUCGCCUUUGCAGUACCUCUUCUUCAUUAGUAUUCACUCUCAAAAGAUCCAAGAGUGUCAAAGAGAGCACUGAAAUUCCAGUAGCAGACAACUGGCCAACCUAUGCUGAAAAUACCCAUGUGUUGAUUGAUUGGCUAAUUGACCUCGCUGCCCGAGAUAGUCCAGGUUGGAGCCUGGUCAGCCUCAAAACACUUAAGAGGUAGUUAUCUAAGAAUUGACCUUGGCAUACCCUCACCGCUAGUUACACUUACCGAGUUCUCUCAAAAUUGCAUCUUGCUAUGAUAUCUGUCUGAAUUCUUUUCCCUUUUUUUUUAUAUGUAUUUACUAGAAAAUAAAUAAAAUCAGUAACUUGAAAAAUCUUACUAUAGCCUUUCCUUCCAUUUGAAGGUGGAUAUGCGGAUCUGUUGUGCAUUCAACAGAACAGAAA